rnacentral:rRNA from 2 species
AGACCGGUUUACUGGUCGUGCUUUUGUACGUACUGGUAUUAUUGGUUUCUCCUUUCUGACGAAUCUUAAUGCCAUUAAUUUGGUGUUUUGGGGAAUCAGGACUGUUACUUUGAAAAAAUUAGAGUGUUUAAAGCAGGCUCACGCUUGAAUACAUUAGCAUGGAAUAACGGAAUAGGACGUUUGAUUCUAUUUUGUUGGUUUCUAGGAUCGACGUA